UCCUCGGUAGCUCAGCGGUAGAGCAGGGCGCUGUUAACGCCAAGGUCGUUGGUUCGAUCCCAACCCGAGGAG
rnacentral:tRNA from 1 species